AUGGCCGAUUCUCAGUAUCUCCAGUACUUAGAAUUCUGUAUUACAGAGGCAGGCAAACAUCGUGAGGAGAAAAGGCCUGAUCCUACAUCUCGUAUUCAUAAUGUCCACAUACAAAUCACGAUUGUCAUAAAGCUGUGACACUUUGGAGUUGCUGGUAAGAGAUCGAUCUUCUUUUCUUGGUGCCAGAAACAUGACAUGGGUCGGGGUUAUGAAAG
rnacentral:lncRNA from 1 species